rnacentral:rRNA from 1 species
AGCAGCCGCGGUAAUUCCAGCUCCAAUAGCGUAUGUUAAAGUUGUUGCAGUUAAAAAGCUCGUAGUUGAACUUCAGGCUUGGUCGGGCGGUCUGCCUCACGGUAUGUACUGUCUGACUGAGUCUUACCUCUUGGUGAGCCGGCGUGCGCUUUAUUGUGUGCGUCGGGGAACCAGGACUUUUACCUUGAGAAAAUUAGAGUGUUCAAAGCAGGCUUAUGCCUGAAUACAUUAGCAUGGAAUAAUAAAAUAGGACGUGCGGUUCUAUUUUGUUGGUUUCUAGAGUCGCCGUAAUGAUUAAUAGGGAUAGUUGGGGGCAUUGGUAUUGAGUCGCUAGAGGUGAAAUUCUUGGAUUGACUCAAGACCGACUAUUGCGAAAGCAUUUGCCAAGGAUGUUUUCAUUAAUCAAGAACGAAGGUUAGGGGAUCGAAAACGAUCAGAUACCGUUGUAGUCUUAACAGUAAACUAUGCCGACUAGGGAUCGGACGACCUCAAAUUUGAUGCGUCG